rnacentral:rRNA from 1 species
UAGGGAAUCUUCCGCAAUGGACGCAAGUCUGACGGAGCAACGCCGCGGGAGUGAAGAAGGAUUUCGGUUCGUAAAACUCUGUUGUUAGAGAAGAACAGCGCAUAGAGUAACUGUUAUGCGUGUGACGGUAUCUAACCAGAAAGCCACGGCUAACUACGUGCCAGCAGCCGCGGUAAUACGUAGGUGGCAAGCGUUGUCCGGAUUUAUUGGGCGUAAAGCGAGCGCAGGCGGUCAAUUAAGUCUGAUGUGAAAGCCCCCGGCUCAACCGGGGAGGGUCAUUGGAAACUGUUUAACUUGAGUGCAGAAGGGGAGAGUGGAAUUCCAUGUGUAGCGGUGAAAUGCGUAGAUAUAUGGAGGAACACCGGUGGCGAAAGCGGCUCUCUGGUCUGUAACUGACGCUGAGGCUCGAAAGCGUGGGGAGCGAACAGG